rnacentral:rRNA from 1 species
GGCUCAGGAUGAACGCUAGCUACAGGCUUAACACAUGCAAGUCGAGGGGCAGCAUGGUCUUAGCUUGCUAAGGCCGAUGGCGACCGGCGCACGGGUGAGUAACACGUAUCCAACCUGCCGUCUACUCUUGGACAGCCUUCUGAAAGGAAGAUUAAUACAAGAUGGCAUCAUGAGUCCGCAUGUUCACAUGAUUAAAGGUAUUCCGGUAGACGAUGGGGAUGCGUUCCAUUAGAUAGUAGGCGGGGUAACGGCCCACCUAGUCUUCGAUGGAUAGGGGUUCUGAGAGGAAGGUCCCCCACAUUGGAACUGAGACACGGUCCAAACUCCUACGGGAGGCAGCAGUGAGGAAUAUUGGUCAAUGGGCGAGAGCCUGAACCAGCCAAGUAGCGUGAAGGAUGACUGCCCUAUGGGUUGUAAACUUCUUUUAUAAAGGAAUAAAGUCGGGUAUGGAUACCCGUUUGCAUGUACUUUAUGAAUAAGGAUCGGCUAACUCCGUGCCAGCAGCCGCGGUAAUACGGAGGAUCCGAGCGUUAUCCGGAUUUAUUGGGUUUAAAGGGAGCGUAGAUGGAUGUUUAAGUCAGUUGUGAAAGUUUGCGGCUCAACCGUAAAAUUGCAGUUGAUACUGGAUAUCUUGAGUGCAGUUGAGGCAGGCGGAAUUCGUGGUGUAGCGGUGAAAUGCUUAGAUAUCACGAAGAACUCCGAUUGCGAAGGCAGCCUGCUAAGCUGCAACUGACAUUGAGGCUCGAAAGUGUGGGUAUCAAACAGGAUUAGAUACCCUGGUAGUCCACACGGUAAACGAUGAAUACUCGCUGUUUGCGAUAUACAGCAAGCGGCCAAGCGAAAGCGUUAAGUAUUCCACCUGGGGAGUACGCCGGCAACGGUGAAACUCAAAGGAAUUGACGGGGGCCCGCACAAGCGGAGGAACAUGUGGUUUAAUUCGAUGAUACGCGAGGAACCUUACCCGGGCUUAAAUUGCAGAUGAAUUACGGUGAAAGCCGUAAGCCGCAAGGCAUCUGUGAAGGUGCUGCAUGGUUGUCGUCAGCUCGUGCCGUGAGGUGUCGGCUUAAGUGCCAUAACGAGCGCAACCCUUGUUGUCAGUUACUAACAGGUUCCGCUGAGGACUCUGACAAGACUGCCAUCGUAAGAUGUGAGGAAGGUGGGGAUGACGUCAAAUCAGCACGGCCCUUACGUCCGGGGCUACACACGUGUUACAAUGGGGGGUACAGAGGGCCGCUACCACGCGAGUGGAUGCCAAUCCCAAAAACCUCUCUCAGUUCGGACUGGAGUCUGCAACCCGACUCCACGAAGCUGGAUUCGCUAGUAAUCGCGCAUCAGCCACGGCGCGGUGAAUACGUUCCCGGGCCUUGUACACACCGCCCGUCAAGCCAUGGGAGCCGGGGGUACAAGAAGUGCGUAACCGCGAGGAGCGCCCUAGGG